CUCGUAGGCGGCCGACUAAGUCGGACGUGAAAUCCCUCGGCUUAACCGGGGAACUGCGUCCGAUACUGGCAGGCUUGAAUCCGGGAGAGGGAUGCGGAAUUCCAGGUGUAGCGGUGAAAUGCGUAGAUAUCUGGAGGAACACCGGUGGCGAAGGCGGCAUCCUGGACCGGCAUUGACGCUGAGGAGCGAAAGCCAGGGGAGCAAACG
rnacentral:rRNA from 1 species